UGUAUGGUGAAAAUGGCCACGACCCAGUUAAUCAUACACACUGAAUUAGGACUCAGUGGCUCAGAAACAAUAACACUGAGCCAAAGGAGGAGUGAGAGAGCUCACAUGCUGAUACGAGUAAUGGCAAACAGCUGUUUUUGCUGUUCGCUAAAAAUAAACACACAUGUGGGACAGGUGCGUGUAUGUACAUGUGUGUGUGUGUAUGAGUAAGUGUGCGAGCAAAGAGUUGUGUUGGUUUGGGAGGAGGCUAGUUACAAUGUCUUUGUGUCUGCUAUGGUUUUCCAAUUCUGUAUUUACAGAUCUGUGAUCAUUAAUAGUGUACAUAAUAAAUCGAAUGUGUUACAGCUAAUCUGAGGAGGCUAGCAGCUGUACUUCUCUCAGCAGGGACUUGAACUGGAAUACGAGCAGUAACAUGAUCCACAGAGAGAGAGGAGAGAGAGGAGGAAGAAGGGGGAGAGAUGGGGAGACGAAUGGAGAAAUGGAAGGAUGGGAGAGGGGAGAGAUGAAGAGCAAGAGGAGAUGUACAGAGAGAGGAAAGGCGGAUCAAGAAACAUGAGAGAAAUGUGAAGAGAGGAGAGAUGAAGAGAAGGGAGUUGACGAGAUUCACAGCCUAACCAAUGAUCUUUAAACUGUGGAGUUUUUAUCUAGAAUAUGUGACUGCAACUUCAAAG
ensembl:lncRNA